CCAAUAGCGUAUAUUAAAGUUGUUGCAGUUAAAAAGCUCGUAGUUGAAUUUCGGGGUUAGUAGGUUGGUCAUGCCUCUGGUAUGUACUGGUCUCACUGAUUCCUCCUUCCUGAUGAGCCGUAAUGCCAUUAAUUUGGUGUUGCGGGGAAUUUGGACUGUUACUUUGAAAAAAUUAGAGUGUUUAAAGCAAGCUAACGCUUGAAUACAUUAGCAUGGAAUAAUGAAAUAGGACGUUCGAUCCUAUUUUGUUGGUUUCUAGGAUUGACGUAAUGAUUAAUAGGGAUAGUUGGGGGCAUUAGUAUUCAAUUGUCAGAGGUGAAAUUCUUGGAUUUAUUGAAGACUAACUACUGCGAAAGCAUUUGCCAAGGAUGUUUUCAUUAAUCAAGAACGAAAGUUAGGGGAUCGAAGACGAUCAGAUACCGUCGUAGUCUUAACCAUCAACUAUGCCGACUAGGGAUCGGAUGAUGUGAAUUUUUUAAUGACUCAUUCGGCACCUUACG
rnacentral:rRNA from 1 species